GUGCCCGUAGCUCAACGGAUAGAGCGUCUGGCUACGGACCAGAAGGCUGGGGGUUCGAGUCCCUCCGGGCACGCCA
rnacentral:tRNA from 1 species